CGUAGAUAACCUGCCUGUAUGACCGGGAUAACAGUUGGAAACGACUGCUAAUACCGGAUAGGCAGAGAGGAGGCAUCUCUUCUCUGUUAAAGUUGGGACACAACGCAAACAGAUGGAUCUGCGGUGCAUUAGCUAGUUGGUGAGGUAACGGCCCACCAAGGCGAUGAUGCAUAGCCGGCCUGAGAGGGCGAACGGCCACAUUGGGACUGAGACACGGCCCAAACUCCUACGGGAGGCAGCAUG
rnacentral:rRNA from 1 species